rnacentral:rRNA from 1 species
GUCGGGAAUUUUGGGCAAUGGGCGAAAGCCUGACCCAGCGACGCCGCGUGAGGGAUGAAGGCCUUCGGGUCGUAAACCUCUGUCGGAAGGGACGAAAGGUCGGCGGUCUAAUAGGCCGAAGGCUUGACGGUACCUUCAAAGGAAGCUCCGGCUAACUCCGUGCCAGCAGCCGCGGUAAUACGGAGGGAGCAAGCGUUGUUCGGAAUUACUGGGCGUAAAGCGCGUGUAGGCGGCCUGACAAGUCGAAUGUGAAAUCCCGGAGCUCAACUCCGGAACUGCAUACGAUACUGUUAGGCUCGAGUCUCGGAGAGGAUGGCGGAAUUUCCGGUGUAGAGGUGAAAUUCGUAGAUAUCGGAAGGAACACCAGUGGCGAAGGCGGCCGUCUGGACGAUGACUGACGCUGAGACGCGAAAGCGUGGGGAGCAAACAGGAUUAGAAACCCUUGUAGUCC